rnacentral:rRNA from 1 species
UGGGAAGUAUUGCACAAUGGGCGCAAGCCUGAUGCAGCCAUGCCGCGUGUAUGAAGAAGGCCUUCGGGUUGUAAAGUACUUUCAGCGAGGAGGAAGGCGUUGUGGUUAAUAACCGCAGCGAUUGACGUUACUCGCAGAAGAAGCACCGGCUAACUCCGUGCCAGCAGCCGCGGUAAUACGGAGGGUGCAAGCGUUAAUCGGAAUUACUGGGCGUAAAGCGCACGCAGGCGGUCUGUCAAGUCGGAUGUGAAAUCCCCGGGCUCAACCUGGGAACUGCAUCCGAAACUGGCAGGCUAGAGUCUUGUAGA